rnacentral:rRNA from 1 species
CAGCCGUAAACUAUGCGCGUUAGGUGUAUCGGUGACCACGAGUUACCGAGGUGCCGAAGGGAAACCGUGAAACGCACCACCUGGGAAGUACGGUCGCAAGGCUGAAACUUAAAGGAAUUGGCGGGGGAGCACCACAACAGGUGGAGCCUGCGGUUUAAUUGGAUUCAACGCCGGACAUCUCACCGGAUAAGACAGCUGAAUGAUUGUCAAUCUGAAGGUUUUACAUGACUAGCUGAGAGGUGGUGCAUGGCGUCAGUGACU